rnacentral:rRNA from 1 species
CCUACGGGUGGCAGCAGUGAGGAAUCUUGGUCAAUGGACGAGAGUCUGAACCAGCCAAGUAGCGUGAAGGAUGACUGCCCUAUGGGUUGUAAACUUCUUUUAUAUGGGAAUAAAACGUUCCACGUGUGGGAUUUUGUAUGUACCAUAUGAAUAAGGAUCGGCUAACUCCGUGCCAGCAGCCGCGGUAAUACGGAGGAUCCGAGCGUUAUCCGGAUUUAUUGGGUUUAAAGGGAGCGUAGGUGGAUUGUUAAGUCAGUUGUGAAAGUUUGCGGCUCAACCGUAAAAUUGCAGUUGAAACUGGCAGUCUUGAGUACAGUAGAGGUGGGCGGAAUUCGUGGUGUAGCGGUGAAAUGCUUAGAUAUCACGAAGAACUCCGAUUGCGAAGGCAGUUCACUGGACUGCAACUGACACUGAGGCUCGAAAGUGUGGGUAUCAAACAGGAUUAGAUUCCCCAGUAGUC